CAAAGAGGAACAUGAAGCCUGAAGUCAGAAGGCCCAGCGGGAGCAGGCUAUCAGGGCUGCCAAGGAGAAGAACAGGGCCACAAAAAGCGCCAAGGCAAAGACGGCCACACAGAGCAAGGCGAAGCAGCCCAAGCAGAAGAUGAAGGUGCCCAAGGCGAAGGCGAUGCCCAAGCAG